rnacentral:lncRNA from 1 species
GUUUCAUUGUGUUAGCCAGGAUAGUCUUGAUCUCCUGGCCUCGUGAUCCACCCACCUCGGCCUCCCAAAGUGCUGGGAUUACGGGCACGAGACACUAGGCCUGGCAAGAAUUCACUUUCUUAGAAGGGGAGCAGUUAUUGCAUACCACUGCUUUGCAACAAUUCCUCGCUCCAGGCCUCCAUGGCCCCCCCGACUUGCCCCAUCCCUUGAAAUGCAAUCAGCCACCUUGACUCAGUAGAAUGGGGCAAAGCCCUUUUUUUUGCCAGACAGACGAUUUGAAUAUGCUGUUGCCAGAGUUCCCAUAUUCACUCUUCCCCUUCUCUCUCGUAAUCAGGGAUUAUCAGAGUUUUGCCACACAGAGGUCAUCUCUGUUGCCUAGAAGUCACUAACUAAACAUAGAGAUUAAUCUCUUGGUUGGUUUUGGGUGACAUACCAGUAAGCUUUCCAGAUAAGUAUAGAAUAUACCGUUAUAUUUGAAUUUCAGAUAAAAAAUGAAUUGUUCGCAUAUAUUUACUAAAUAUUGUAUAGGACAUAUAAAAAUUAUUCAUCGUCUAUCUGAGAUUCAACUUUAACUGGGCGUCCUGUAUUUUUAUUUGCUAAAUCUGCCAGCCCUACCCAUCAGGUGACUCAAAGGCCUAAGAGUUCAGCCAACAAAGCUACUGAGAUCCUAGGAGAAAUCAAAUCAAGACAAUAUGUCUACACUGAACCAAAGUAUUUGCAGAGUGCUGUGUUCACAGCUGUGGGAGAUGCAAAACAGUGUCAGACUUGGUGAGAAAACAGUAGAGGAGAGGAAUGGCCACAGGCCAGAGAGAGACCGUGGUGCUAGCACAAAAGCCUGGCUCAAGGACUACAGAAAAGCAAAAUGGCAUUUAAAAAAAGAUUGUUUCCAGUAGUUUUAUCUCCAACCUUUUAUGAUGGCUUCUUGUAAUGGGAGCUUCCGCGUCACGGGAGAAGGCUGGAGAGGCUGGAAAACAAAGCUUUCUGACAAGGCAGGAGGCUUGUGGGCAUAGCAUGUACCCUAGUCCUUUAUUGCUGGGAUAAAGCAAACAGCAUCUUGAUUGACAACUGAGGGACGGUAUGGCAGUAACAAUCAAUAGGCAUUUGUGGGUUGGAUGACUGACAAAUUUUUGAGCAGGAAGAGCAUGAGGAAGGAUAUUUUAGUAAGACUAUCUUGGAUGUGUUGUGGGAGAAACAUGAAGGAUACAAAUCCCUUUUACUAACUGGGGAAAAAUCAGCCAUCUACCCUGACGGCUGUCCUGCACUGAACAUCACCUAACACUGUCAUUCUUCCUCCUCCAAUCACAUCAACAACUUGCUGUCCAGUUGUUCAGGGACUUCAAACAACCAUGGCUAUUAUAGCAAGUAUUGUGGUGCCAUUUCUUCCGAAAACUGGGAGGAUAAUUAUACACUCUGUGGGUGAGGGUGUAGAACAAACAAGAGGACAGAUUAAUGGCAGAGAGAGGACAGCGUUGAGAAAAGUGAAUUAGAAAGCAGAUUGGCUGGGAAAGUAGGGAGUCAUUAAAACUUCUUUCUGAUCAAUUAAUCUUUGGGUGGUUGGGGUUAAGGAACAACCUGGAAUUCAGCCUCCACUGUGUGCCUUGAACUUCCAUUCCUGUUAUCUGUAAGGAAAACUUUAUCCUUGUUUUAAUGACUUUUCAAGCAGUUAGGAAACUUUGUCAAGAGUGUUGAGUGGCAAGGGCAGAGCCAGGAUUGGAGGACAGGUCUUUCUUGCUCCAAGACGAGUUCUGGUUCCAUGUCUGAAGGCUGCCCAGGCUCCCUGUGAAAAGGGGCUCUGCAAACUGCUCCUUCAGUCUCACAGAAGUGCAUGCUAAUGAGACUAACACAGACAUCUACCCAUCCAUUGCUGUCAGUUGUGUGUGCUGAAUUCUAUUUUGCUAUUUGAAAUAAAAAGAAACUUACAGUCUGGAUUGGGGAUAAAGGAAAAUGAAGAUUUAGUCUACCUCGGUGAUAGAGUGUAAUUGCAAAGGGAUAAAUAUAUGGACUCACAUCAGUUUUUCACUUCCUACAAUGGCCAACCCUUCUGGAAAAAAACAGUAUUUCAGGUAGUAGCAAUGAGAUUAUCUGGCGAUUUGGUAAAAGAGUUAAGCGUAACAUUUUAUGGAAAGAACUAUAAUCAGAUGAUAACCACAGGAAGAAGCAGCAACAGAGCAAAGAAAAUAACAUAUUAUCUUUUUAAAGACACCUAGAUUUGUUUCUGAGGAGGAUGAGGAGGCUUUCGAGAUACUGAGAAGGGAAAAAGAUAUUAGAGCUGAGAAUGAUCUUUGUGAUACUAAAAGCUACUUGAGGUUUGCGGUGGGGAAUGAAUGAGCUGACACCCGAGUAAUAAACCUUAGGCUCUCACACGUCUCCACAGAGCCUGUUUGGAAACCAGGAAAGAGUAAGUGACUCAAGUAUUCUAAAUUUUAGUAAAAGAAGAAGGUAAUCAUCUCACCACCUCCCUUCCCCUCCCUCUUCCUUUGUGCUUGGUUUUCCUCAGGUUCUUCUCAUAUUAAAUAAUUAAUAUUUAAUAAAAGGGUCACUCUACAACUAUGCUUUUGCCCUUGUGCCAAUCUUGAAGCAGGGCUCUAUACUUCUGUGUUUUUCUCUCAAAGGAAGUUCACUCUCGAAAAGUGAGAAUGCAAACUUUACUGAACAUUUUAUAAGGAAGACCGAAGAGGGGAUUUACACCUCGUGAUGCUCAGAGUUUAAUUUCCCAAAUCACCGUGAGAAGUCCCUCCCCAGUUCUAUUCUCAGCUGUUGUUCUUUGGGUCUUUAAAAUCUUCCACCAAGUAGCUUCUCAAAUUCUCUGUUUUAGAGAAAUCUUCCCUUCAGCCAUGGUUCUUUUGCAGAAAAAUUUCACUUCUCACCUCUCUCAGUCGUUGGCACCAGCCCACCCACAGACCUCGAAGCCCAGCAUUCACUAUGGUUUAGCAGAGGAUUCCCCCUAAAAACUCACACUUUCUUUUGCAAGGCAUUCAUGAAACAACUGCUAAGAAAAAUGAGAUGUUUUUGUAUUACCACAAGAACAUAAUUCAUUGGGGAAUGAUACCUUGCAAAGUUUACCAUAUGCUUUGGGUUUCUUAAUUUUUAGAAUAUUUGCUAUCUUCUUAUCCAAGCUUGGAGGUUGGGUUUGGUGGCAGUGGAGAUAAUUGAAUUCUUGUCUAACCACAUUUUCAGAAUGACAUCAAUUAUUCUCCCAUUUUUAAGUGAAUGUUUCCAAAGCAUUCUGAAUGGCUAUUUACCCAGUAGCUGAGAGAGAAACUGGGAUUUUGUUUUUUUAACUUCUCCAUCUGUGAGGAGUGGCCAGCCAUCUUUAUUCCUUCUCUUUAUGUAGGGGCUACCCUCUUGGGGGUUUCACAGUAUUUCUUGUAAAGACCAUGAACUUGGGCUGUCACUGUGUGAUAACAAUUCCUUUAUGCCCACGACUGAAUCUCAGAUUCUGGCUGGGCGCUGUGGCUCAUGCCUGUAAUCCCAGCACUUCGGGAGGCUGAGGCAGGCGAAUCCCUCUAGCCCAAGAGUUCGAGACCAGUCUGGGCAACAUGACAAAACCCCAUCUCUACAAAAAUCUGCUGUUCAUGGUGGCACAAGCUUGUAGUCUUAGCUACUCGGUAGGCUGAGGUGGGAGGAUUGCUUGAGUAGGGGAGGUGGAGGUUGCAGUUAGCCAAGAUCACGCCAUUGCACUCCAGCCUGGGCACAGAGUGAGACCCCGUCUCAAAUAAAUAAAUACAUUAAAAUCCAGAUUCUAAGAUGUUAGAAUUACUACCUUAAUUUUAAGGUUUUAAUAUUAUUGAUUGCUUAUUCUCAUGGGGACACCAGAGUUUGGUGAUCCUGGUGGUCCGUAUCCCUGGGGGAAUUCAAGAUGUUUGCUCAAAAGUUGGCUUAUCAGCGUUUUGCUCCCUUUUGGCGCUUCAGCUUCCUGCAGCUUCGUGUAAUUUGUGCAUUAAUAGUGCUCAUUAUGAUCAUGGGGGUCUUUUGAUGUGAAAAUCAGGCUUGAUGUAGACUUGAUAUGUAUUGGGAUAUUUCAAAGAUAUUUGUUAAAUGCAUCUGGAAAAUUCAGGAUGUCUGUUGUUGAGUUUCUAGACCUGUGCAGGGAACACCUUUCCAGAGGUCAUUGUGUUUUGUAUUUUGCUGCUCAUUAUUUUUCUUCCCUGAAGAACUGUUUUGUUUUGUUUUGUCACUUUCCAAAUCUGAGUGAGUUCUUUUCUCCUUCCAACUCCCCUGCCUGUGAUAUUCUUUUAUCAUGUCAUCAUUAUUUUAUCAGUAAUUCUGCUCACGCCCAAGAAUUUUGCCUCUUCUUCCUCAGCUUACUGAUUUCUAUGGCAUGUCUUUUUUUCUCAGUAUUUCUUCCUAGGUCGGACAUUUCCCCCAGUCAUCCUUUCUCUCGCUUGAUGCAUGUCACAUCCUAGGAAGCAUCAGCUACUACAUCUGCCCCCUCCUUUUCUCUUCCGUCCCCACCGGGCUUUCCUGGAGCUGCUCCUGCCACAUUUACUCCAUGUCUUGGGCUCACAGUGCUUCACUUCUAUCCUUGUCAUUCAGGGGUAACAGUUCAAUGAUCUUUCCCCUUCUCUGUCCACUGAGUUCAUUUACAAUUUACAAUCCAAACAGUUUCUGGUUGUCAGCUUGCCUGACUGUAACCUUUAAUAUUUACCCUGCUGUCCCCUCCUCCAAACUUUCCUGUCAUCUUUCAUUUCUGGAGUUGUCAAUAUCUAUCCCAAGUUGUUUAUUUUUCUUUCUUUCUUUCUGUUACUUCCUCCCUCAUCCUUUUUUGCUUGCUUUCUCUUGACUUUUUAAUUUUGAAUAAAUGAUAGAUUUGCAAAAAGUUGCAAUGAUAGCAAAAAUAGUGUGGAGUGGUCCUGUGUGCCCUUCACCCAGUUUCCCCCAAUGAUCACAUCUUACAUAAUUGUUGUCCUGUAUCUGAGCCAGGAAAUUGACAUUGGUACAAUGCAUGUGCAUAGUUCUAUGCCAUUUUAUUGCAUGUGUAGAUGCAACAAGAUACAGAACUAUUUAAUCACCACAAAGAUCUCCCUCAUUGUAACCCCUUUAUAAUCAUAUUCUACUCACCAUUCCUAGCCCCAUGGCAACCAUUAAUCUGUUCUGCAGUCUAUAAUUUGUCAUUUGGAGAAUGCUAUCUAAUUGGUAUUGCAUAGUAUAUGAUACAUUGAGACUGGCUUUAUAAAAUUCAGCAUAAUGCCCUUGAAUUCUACCCAAGUUAUUUUGUGUAUCAAUAGUUCACUCCUUUUUAUUGCUGAGUAGUAUUUCAUAGUAUGGAUGAGCCACCAUUUACCUAUUGAAGGACAUUUUGGUUGUUUCCAGGUUUCGGCACACACAUAAUCUUUUUCCUUUUUAAAGAUCUUUUUCCUCUAGGUUGCUGCUUUCUAAAAGGAACUUUCAGGAAAAGAAAAACUUUUGGGGGAGGAGGAUUUACCCAUUGGUUCUUUUGCCUAAUUAAGGGUUAGGUUCAACCCACAGUGAUUGGCAAUGUAAAUAAACUAUUAAUAUUUUCUUUUCAGAAACAGCCUUGCUUUUGACAUCCUGUUCCAAUUCUUGGUUGUCAGUAAAUGCCCUCCCUGCUUGUCUUGUUUGUCAGUGAAUACGUUAAAUUUGACCUCUGUGGAGGUGUUCCAAUAUAAAUUUUGAUCACGAACAAAAAUCAGGUUUAGUUAUUUUAAGUUAGGAUGUUAAUUUAAAGUGACUACAUUGUUACAAGAGCUUUGGUGCCUGUUCAGGAGAUCCUUAAAGUUAUUUCUGGCAAAAUGUAUUGAAACUAGGGGACUUUAGAACUCAGACCUCAAGGGAAACAGGACAAGCUGAGUUUUAGCUGUUUGACUGGAAGGCUGGGUCAGCAAGCAGCCUCUGCUUAAAAAAAAAAAAACACAUGCUCAUUUUCCAAAUGAGUUUAGGCUCAAUAUUUUGUUAACCCUGCAUAUGUUUGAGAGGGAACUCCUGAGCGCUGGCUGGCUGAGCUGGUUUUAUCUUGGUUCUAGUAAAUUAGUAGAUUGGCCUGACAUUUUUGGCAUGCAGUAAUGAAGGUUGUCAUAGGUUUCCUUUCUGUGAGCAACUUGGCUUCCUAUUAUGUUUGAAGAUUUCACAUAUUUGCAUAAACUGAAGUUGAGGUGAUUAUAUGGGAGAGAAAUAAAAGUGCAAAUAUUUAAAUAUUACAGGAUAUUUUAGAGUCUUUUAGGGUAAAAAGGGGAUUUAAUAUAUGUGAAAUGGAAGUUUGCACUGGCACAUUAAGACUUUCUCUCUCUCUCUCUCUCGCCCAGACUGGAAUACAGUGGCAUGAUCAUGGCUCACUGCAGCCUCAACUUCCCUGGCUCAAGGGAUCCUUCUGCCUCAGCCUCCUCCGUACUGGGACUACAGGCAUGCACCACUGCGUAUGGUUAAAUUUUUUUUUUUUUUUUUUUUUUUUUUUUUUUGAGAUAGAGUCUCUCUCUGUUGCCCAGGCUGGAGUGCAGUGGCACGAUCUUGGCUCACUGCAACCUCCACCUCCUGGGUUCAAGCAAUUCUCCUGCCUCAGUCUCCCGAGUAGCUGUGUUUACAGGCACAUGCCACCACGCCCGGCUAAUUUUUGCAUUUUUAGUAGAGAUGGGGUUUCGCCAUGUUGGCCAAGCUGGUCGCAAACUCCUGGGCUCAAGCAAUCCUCCCUCCUUGGCCUCCCAAAGUGCUGGGUUUACAGGUGUGAGGCACUGCCCCUGGCCGCCUUCUUUUUUUUAAAGUCCUCAAGAAAUUAGAAAUUUUGAUAAUGAAAACAAUAAUCAGAAUCUUUUCUAUUUUAUGAAAUUUCUAGGUCUUUGCUUUGCUGGUAACAUUCAAUUAACAUCUUUGUGAAAGUAAGAUUGCCCCUCCAAUGCCCCCAGCCUCCUAUUCCCCACUUCCGAUUUCCACUGCUCCUUAAUGUGUGGGAGAUGAUAAUGCCUUGUAUACAUAUAACUUAUGCCUGGAGGAACAGAAAACAGUUUGAACACUUUGUCUAAUGAGUCCCUAGUUUUCCUCAAGGUAGGCGGAGGAAGGUGAGCUGCACAUGGGCCCAGUGGAUCUCUGCGUGACAAGCACUGAGUCACCAAGUGAGUCACUGGUGAGGCGGGAGGGAGUGGUCCACCCAGGCUAGCAUUCUCAGGCUAGCGCUCUCAGAAUGUUUUCACAAUAUCCCAAGGUCUCCACAAGUGUUUCAUGAGGUUACUGUAAGAUUCAUGUAUCUCACAAUCAAAUCAGAAUGAAUUCGAAACAACAAAGCAAAAAGACAAAACCACAACCAUUUGGGGAGGAUUUCUUAGGACACCUUAGAGAACAGAUCAUUCUAGGGCAGUGUUGUAGCUCAGGAAACUUUGAGACACAACUCUUUUUAUCCACCUUCCUUCUUUCUCUUUCCUUCCCCCUUCUCUCCUUUCUUUCUCAAUUUCUGAUGGGCCCAAUCCUGGAACGAGGCCAUUUAGGGAGACGAAGUGGGGAAGUACAGCAGCUCUGUUUUCAAGAGAAGUUACUGGUCAACAUUCUUGGCCUUCUUUAGCAAUACCAUGAGCCCACUCUCAUCUCACUCUCCUCUCACUAUUACUAUCAUCUAAUAAUCAGAAUUCUUUAUUAAUCAGUCUAUUUUGAACAUCUGCUAUGUGACAACUGAUUACUGCCAAUGAUGACUCAGGAGUGAAACAUUUUCAACUGGCUCUGGAUGAUUGAAAUCCAGAUUUUACUGGGUGUUGGUGUUCAUGCUAAUCCUGGGAAAAGUGAGAACCCCCAUGACGUGACUAGCCAUGGUAGCAGUCUAAUAAACAACGUCUCUCAUUUGCUGGUGUUUGUGGAUCAUGGAGUUCCCAGUUCCAGUACUUCCUAGGCAGUGAGACUUCUAACCAUUGAGCCAUCUGGAGGCCUGCUGGGACCUGGCCAUUAGUGUACAAAACAUUGAAGCAAUGGUGAAGAUGUGGGAGAGCAAGUGAUCAAAGCUGAGAAGCAAGACAAAGUGACAGGAACUAACAUCUAUUGAGCAUCUAGUGAGUGCUAAGUAUUGGGCUACGGGCUUUAGUGCAUGUGGUCUCAUUUGUCACUGAGAAAUGACAACUGACCAGUGACAGAAUCCUCACCAGAAAAGGUCUCAGGUAAUGUGGUUUCAGAAGAAACCAGUAUGGGUUAGGGUGCUUACACUGGCAAUUCAUAGAAAAUGUAAAAACUUUCCUAAGUGAUAAGGACACUUGUUGGCUCAGGAGAGGAGAGGCCAGUGGCUUAUUGAUGCUUGUAAGCCCCCAGGUUACCUCUAUCUCUGCCUAUGAGGGUUCACUCGCUCCUGGGGCUUGCUGUCUUUGUGAGCAUAGAAUGGUUGCCAACACAUUAAUGCUAGUGCUCCCUUAUCUGUGUCCAGAGAGUGCGAGUGAGUGAGAGAGAGCGGGUUUCUAGUACUUCUUCCGGAAAAGCAAUGUACCUCCUUCCUAGAAGCCUCUUAGCCAUCCCAUCUUGUUGCCUAGAACUGGGUGACACGGCCAAUCUUCAACUCUAAUAAGGAGGAUGGAAUUACCUUUACAGGUUUAGACUACCAAGGGGGUACUCUGGGAGUUAAGAGUGGGGUCAGUGGGCAACUUGGAAGCAAGGUGUAUUCAAAUGGAAAUCUUGCUUUUGGUAAGAAGGAGCAAGCCCUGAGCUAUACAGAAGUGAAAUCAGGUUCUAUGCAAUGAUAUUUAGAAAGAAAUUCAUCAAAAAGAUGUAAACAAUUUCUGCUUUUACAGGGGAAAACAACAAUUACCUGGGUUGUUCACUCAAAUUUCACUCCUAAGCUCCAGAUAUAUUUGGUAACCUUAUGCAUUUUAAAUACAACAAAUCCAAGAUGGCAGCCGUCACUGCUUUGUUCUACCUCAUCAAAUGUGCUCUUCCUACUGGGUUCUCCGGUUUGUUCAAUGACACCACCCAAGCAUAGACACCCAAGCAACAAAUUAAAACCCUUUCUGCCAAACUCUUAUACCUGGAUAUGCCAGGGUGUCUCUGAAGUUAUUUGUCAUAAAGGGACAAAGCCUAGUUGGCAAAGCCAAUGUUGAUAUCAACAUAUUUGGAAUCACCUUCAAGCAUGUUUCAACGUGUCUAUGACUACCUGUCUUUUAUGUAGAUUUUAUUUUAUUUGGGCCAACUGCAGCAUCUAGAACACAUGACCUCAAGUAAGCAAGUUUAGUCCUUGCAUUUUUCUUCUGGGGCUAACCUGUGCCUGUGAGAGAGACAGCUAAAGUUAAAGGCACAUGCCUGGCUGCAUGCUGAAAGGAGCAAGAGUUUCACCUGGUGGUAGCAAGAUCGCUCUGGGGGCAGGUGGUGGUGAGUGUUGGCCGAACUUCAGAAAUUUUCUGUAGUUGUAACUGAUUUUGCCUGGUUGUGCUGUGAGUGCCACACAGUGUUGUGCACAUCUCUGGAUGUAAAUGUGGAAUUUUAAAACUUUGCUAUCUGGCUUUAGUCAACCUAAAACAUGGACUUUUUUAGCCAGGCGCUACCCCGGCUCACCAGACAGGUUUGCCACAGGGAAAAAAAAAAUGAAGUGUAAGUUUGGCUUCAAUUUACUUACAGACCAUAACAUAGACCCUCAGAAUAUGCUUUUGGUUUUUCUUGGUUGCUGUUUAUUGCUGUAUUAAUUCCCUAGGGCUGCCAUAACAAAUUACUAAAAACUGAUGGCUUAAACAACAGAAAUUUAUUGUGCCACAGUUCUGGAGGCUGGAAGUCUGAAAUCACGCUCCCUCCAAAGGUUCUGAGGGAGGAUCCUUUCAUCAUUUUCCAGCUUCUGGUGGCUCCCGUGUUCCUGAGACUAUUCUGUUUUCAGCCUCCAUCUUCACAUAACCUUCUCUGUUUCUCCUUCUUCUGUCUCUCAUAAAGACACUUAUGGACACUGGAUUUAGGGCCCACCUCAAUAAUCCAGGGUAAUCUCAUCUCAUCUCUUAAUUACGUCUGUAAAGACCAUUUACCCAAAUAAGGUCACAUAUACAGAUUCCAGGAUGUGGACCUAUAUUUUUGGGGCCAUGAUGAAACUCACUAGAGUUGCCAUGCUUCUCCUGAGAUCAUGAAUAUUGAGACAUUCAGCACGGUUCGUGGCUUCCAAAUCCAAGGAUCGGUGCCACCGCUCAGAAGAGCUGCUUCAAGGAAGGUGAGUCUCAAACAUCCAAAAUGGCAGGCUGUAUCCCUCAUAAUCGUCUUGUUUCCUUGUUGUUUUAGUUAUCACCUGGAGAGCUGUACAUGCACAAGAAAUAACUUUUGGGAGAUCCCAGUGAGUAGCCACCAAGUUCCUUAGAUUGUAUCUUCUAAAUCUCUGAGUCCAUCAUACCCUUCAUUGCCACCACCACUGCUUUAUUGAAUCCCCAUCAUUUCUUCCCUGGAUUAUGCCUUUACAUUUCCCCUGCCUUCUCUUCAGCUCCCUUUCUCCACAUUGCUUUCUGGCAGAUGUUGUAAUCUGGUGUUACCUGCCUAGUGCUUGGUAGCUUUCCCUUGUGCCUCCAGGCCCAUCCUUCUCCACUCUGUCUUCUUCUUCCAAAGCUCUAUUGCCCUGUGGCUUCUGGCUGGGUUUGGUCAAUGGGGAGCAUUGGUGAGAUGGGAAAGAUGGAGUGGUGAGGGGGCAUUUACCUCCCUAACGUUUUCCCUGGGGGUCACUGCUGGCUGGCUGCAUCUCUCAACUGAUGCUGACAGCUUCCAUCAGAUGCCUUCUUCACAUGUCUUUCUCCUCCAAGCUUUAGUACCCAUUUCUUUCUUUACCCUUCCAAACCUAAGGAUGGCAACAGUGCCCUCUGUGGUUUCCCUACCUUGCCCACACCUUUAAACAUAAUUCCUUUAUAAACUCUUCUUGGUGUGGUGGCUCACGCCUGUACAAAGUGCUAGCACUUUGGGAGGCCGAGGUGGGUGGAUUGCCUGAGCUCAGGAGUUCGAGACGGGCCUGGGGAACACGGUGAAAGCCCAUCUCUACUAAAAAUAUAAAAAAUUAGCUGGGUGUGGCAGCGUGCACCUGUAAUCCCAGCUACUCGGGAGGCUGAGGCAGGAGAAUCGCUUGAACCUGGGAGGCGGAGAUUGUAGUGAGCCGAGAUUACACCAUUGCACUCCAGCCUGGGCGACAGUCUCAAAAGAACCAAAACCAAACAAACAAAACGUGUCUUAAAUUACCGAUUUCAAUGUGCCAUAUGUUUCUUGACUGGACCAUGACUAAUACAUCCAUGCUUAAAGCAUGUCACUGGCUCCAUCUUGCCCAGAGGGCAAAUGCAUUAGCCCAUGCUGGGGAACAAGGCUCCGGCCUUGCUUCCAGACUUAGUAUUUCCUGACACACCCACGGUACUCCUGCAUGCUGAUGGACUUUUGGUUUUCUGUACUUGCUGUGGAGAUUUUAUAAGUGAUGUUUUCUUUCCUGAUUUAUCUGCCUGGGCCUUUUCCAUCCUUCAAGAUUCUGCUGGAAGAUUACCUGUUGCCUGUUGUUUUGUUGACCUCCCUAGGCAGGGCUAGCUGCUUCCUCCUCUGUGCUCCCACAUCGAUUAUAUAAGUCCAUUACAGUGCUAUUCACUGCGACAAGUGUUUGUUUGUGUGUCCGUUUUCCUUCUGGUCGCUGAACCCUUGACUGUAUACCUGACUAUAUCCCAUUUUUCUUUGUUCUCCAAGUGCCUGUUGUUUUCUCAGGUAGGAUUAAUAAAUAUUUUGUGAAUGAAUACACUUGUUUUAUGGACUACAUUAUUUCUCACCUUUUCAUAUCAACAAGAUUGCAGCAAUAAAAUGUCAUCUUCAUCUAUGCAACUGUGCAUGCUGUUUUGUGUCUUGAUGAGUAUUAUUUUAUCCUUAUGACAACUCAGAGAGAUUGAGUAGAUGGGAAGCAAAUUUUCCCGUCAUGUAGAUUGUUACUGGCAGAACUUUGCCAAGAAUCUAGACCUUUUGAUACUGAUUUGCUCUUCUUUUCAUGAGACCAUUUUGCCUCCUGAGAUGCCAGAUUUUAAAAAAACAACAGAGCCCAGGAGCAGGCUAACCUAAUGAGCACCACCCCAAGGACCACUUCAGAUGGAAGGCAACUCAGGCUGCCAUAGAGAUAACUCCAAGUAAUUAUAAACACAUGUCAGGAAGACCGAAGAGAGAGAGCUUGUUGUCAGAAGGGUUCUAACGAACAGAGCUGGUCACAUUACCGGAACCUAACUUGCUGUUGCGAGAGAAUUAUGUCUGAUGUAGGCUCCAGGGACUAUCAACAGAACAUAACACUUGGAUUAAAAUUAGGAAUGAACAUCAAAAAGAAGUAUUCCGGGACCCUGGGGAAGGGCUGGCAACCCAUGGAGGAAGGAGUGGAUUGUUUCUAUAAUUCAAGCCAUAUCCCAUGAGAAAGUAAUAUAUAGGCAGCAGCACAAAUAAAGAUAAAUUCAAGAGCAUUUGGGGCAAUUUCUGUUAUGUCAAUAGAAG